GUGGUUGGGAGAUGUUUUGGUGGUAAAGAGCUUGUGGGGCUCAGAGAAACAGCACUCACAGUGAGGAUGGAUCUCCAGGGGCUUCAUAGAGACAGAUCCCCAGGAAAUCAUAAACAGCAACACCAAAGCGUUGGCAAUUUGCUGUAUUUAUAGCGAGUGGCUGACUGAGUUAGUGAUUUGCACCCCCUUCAGAUGAGGAUAAAUGAUACCCCUCCAUUUGUACACAACCUGUCACUGCUGGGAGGAAAAAAAUUAAGCUGCUACAAACCCCAGCGCAAUUCACCUAGCAUCAUCCAGAAAGGCCUGCGGCUUCCACUUGCCAAAAAUCCAUUACAGCUGCUCCCUUAGGAGCAUACACCUUGCUUUAACAAGCAGACAAUGCCCUGCUCCAUUCAGAGCUGCACACACAGUUAGGAUCUGGAGAGGCCGUAGUCAAAGCGAAGACGCCAAUAUUGUAGCUCGUAUUUCACGGAGAGUCUCCCAACAGACUCCAGCACAUCAAAAGCUGAGCCCUGCGACUGUGAUGAAGAUGUAGUCACAGGGUUCAGUGCUAUCAGUGCCUGAAAAAGGGGAAUCCAAAAUGCAUUGCACCAGCCCUUAGAUGUGGUACUUCUUUACUCUCCGAUGUUCUGCAAGCUCUCAAAAGCCCUUUAUUCCAAUGAUGGCUGAGUAAAUGUUAUUGUCCUCUUCCCUCUGCCUGCUACCACUCCUUCCCCAUAAAUCUCUUGGCUUUCAGGAGAUCUGUGGAAGAUACAUUCCUAAAAUGCUUCUGUGUUUUGCUGGUGGUGCUGCUGCUGGAAGGCAGCAUGAUAAUCCAUGUGGAAAACAAGCUGAGGAAUUUCACUGAGCUGACAGGAAGGACAGAGGCCUCAAUCUGCCCCAAGAAAAACUUGUGGCUUUCUUUCAGUGCUUAUUUCGGAGUCUGACAUCUGGGUUGGGAAAAUUCCAGCUCUGGUAUUUAAAUUCCGAGCUUCUUCCUCAACUCUGGGCUCUCACGUGGCGCAGCUCACCCUGGACUCAGUGCUCUGCAGGGACGGUUGUGAAAUUGGCCCAACGAGUGUGGUGAGAGCAGGAUGCCCUGCUCCAACCAGCCCUGCCUCAGCAGGGAGAGGAGAUGCUGGGAGCCCAGGUUACUGAGGUGCUUUCAAAGCCUCUCAUGUACAAGGCACCACAGAAUUUAUUCAGUGCUUGGCUUUCAUUUUCUAUUGAAACUGACAAGAAAUCCCCCAAUGAGCUACAGCAGAGUUAAUAAGCUUAAUAAGCUAACAAUUGUCGUUACCUUUUCAGAAACUGCUUUUUUCUUUUUGCAACUGUUUUAAUUUCUUUUUCUUGUAGUAUGUGGAGCACUCUGCCUGUACUGUGAUGGGGGACGGAUGCUAGCACCAGCUUGCUGGGGGUGUUUGCCUUUACUUUGCUUCCCAAGUACCACGCAGUGCCAGCUAUCUGAUCAGUCAGUGGCUUAGCACCAGCAGGCAGCAGACCAUGAAACCUGAGCGACUUUCAGGACUUUCAGGAAGGUGAGGGAGAGGUGCUGAAGUAGAAAACAGGAGAGGAAAGUUUUAAAAUCGAGAUCUAUUGGUGGGAUAACAAGAAGCACACUUGGAGGAUGGGAUUUAGCUUUCCAUCUAACUCAUCUUCCAAGAUGUGCAGCAAGUGUGAUCCCAUCAUAAGAUGAGACAAUACCUGACAGCUGGGCAGUGGUGGCCAGUUCACAUUGUCCAAAAUCAAUCGGACAGGGACAUCGUCCAAAAAUCAGUCAGACAAGGAUACCUUUUGUCCUUAGGCAGCAAAGGCUGAAUUGGUGAUCAAGAAACAAACAGUCCAUAUUCAAUUUACUCUCUCUUAGUAUAGCUCUAUAAUAAUUUUAGAAUAAUUCCUCAACUUUUUAUCCUAAUGCCUCUUCCAAAACCAGAACAAAUACAUAGAAAACCAUCCUCCAUAUUGAAAAACUGUUCACACAAAGCUUUUCAAGGUGUUAAUAUCUUAGUGAUUUGGCACCUUUGCUCUGUGACAAUCUCUGAUUUACACCUUCAGCCUCCUGUCACACACAGGUUGUGCUCUCGGGAUUAGAGAAGCCAUUGACAGAACCGUUUCCCUGAGACUGCGGUGAGAUUGCAGAAGGGGCAUCUAACCCGGCACACACAAGCUCCUGUGUUUGCCAGAGGCAGGCAGAGGGUGUCUUUUGCAUCCCCAGAAAGGGCUGUGUUUGGUUAAGCUUUUGAAGUGACUCAUUAGCCAGCUUCAGGGAGGGAAGUGGUUAUUCCUAAGUGCUCCACAAACCCAGGGGGGUGGGAUCUAGUGGGAGCCCAAAGCCUCAAAGUCUCCCAAAAUAAAUGUGACAACCUUCAUCCAGCAGCCCACUUCAUGCUGCUUGCUGUUCUUUGCUGCCUCACGUAAGGCUGGAAACAAAUACAUGCAAGGAAAGAAAAUUAACUGCACGAGAACAAUUGGAGAGGUGUAUGUGCGGCUUCUCCCCCGGUGCUGCCAGACGCCAACUGCCUUUUAAUUAGUGCUGUUUGCAUCGUGUGGGGGAGACGGCGCAGAAUCUUAAUUACUCCCCCAAACACAGAUCCAAACGUCAGUGCAGACCUUUCAACAAGGUGGGGGGACCCCAGAAAAAACAGCCCAGAGUCUACCUGCGUAAUCCUCAGCAAAGACUUGUGCUACAAACACAAAGCUCUCUCCGAGCUGUGUGUCAGUCAGCAGUGUGCUAAUACUGGGGUAACUUAAUAUUUGUACAGGAGGCACCUGGUGGCAUGGUACUCUGAGGUCAGCUCUUCAGACUUCCAGCUCUUUCAGAUAUAUUAUUUUUCUUGCCAUGCUGGUGGCAGUCCUGUGGAUCUGAAGGCACGUAGCUGUCUCACAGCCCAUGUGAGUAACACUUAAGCUGAAUAAUGCUCGGAGUUAUCACAGCCAAUAUGGCCCUACUGCAUCAGGUGCUGGCAAAUUCAUUCCCUUUCCGCUGAACUCUCAGGUUUUCUCAAAAGUCUGUACUUUAAAAAUACUUUUGGUGCUUUUUUAGCAGAAAGCACUGAGCAAAGUCAAUUGCAAGUCACAACUUUCUGGGGAAUGGAUGAUUUUUCCCAUGGUUUCACAGCUUUAAAUCAACAAUGAACAGCUCAAAAGACUGCAGCUAAUUUCAUAUGAUAUUCUGGAGCCAGGGAGACUGAAAAUUAUAGGUCUAUAUAGUGACUACAGAAAGUUGGCUUCUGCUCUAGGUAUGACAGCACAUAUGUUACAGGAUUGAAUGAAACGUAGUCCAGCCAACGGGCUUAUCUUUCACUACCAGUGUGUCACAAAGAAAUAAUUAAAAAAAAAAAAAUCAGAAUGACAGCUCUUGGUCAGCCAUGGCACUGCACCAGUGGAUCCUUACCUUACACAGGGCUGCACGAGGUCUGCCCUCUCUGAAAGCAACCCCAGUAUCACCAAAGCACUGUAUACGAAGCAGCACCUUGCCAAAAUCCCCACGCCAAGAGUUGGUAACACAGGCCAGAAGUCUGUUGUACCACUGACGAAGUGAGCUCUGCUGCUGGGAGGCUGAUUGAAUAAACCCAAACAGCCGCCACCACUGGUACUGACUGCUGGCAGGGAGGCACCUUCAUCUGAAUACAAAACUGAACGCAUAAAAAAGAGACCACGCUAUUUUCUAGCCUGUGGGUACCUGCCACGAGGCACCUGUCACUCCCCUGUCCUCUUCACAACUGCUUCCAGGUUGCUGCAGCUCAUUACACGCUGCUUUAGUUCAGCUAACAAGCUGAAACAGCAGUAUCAUCCUAUUCCUUAUGCAUCAGCCCUGGUGACACCCCUGCGAGCUCACCUGAUGUGUCUGCAUUUUUUUUUCUUUGAGAUAAUAGGAAGCAGUUUUCCUGAUGCAGCAAUUAGCAAAGGCUCCCUUAAAACUGUAGGCUCUUGCUGAACAUCCAAAUCCACCCUAUCGCUCUAGUCAUGUGGCCACCUGUGUGCAUUUACAACUCCUAUCAACCACAGAGAAAUAAGGAUACCUUCCUUGCUCUGUCUUGCUGGCAACUGCCUCCAGCUGCAAAAAAACAAAGGAAGCCUUAGGUGGCACAGGGUAGCUAUUUUUCUUCAAGGGGUUGAAGGGAACCCAAUCUCUACCAUGUCUCCUGUUAAUUCACCAACGUACUGAGGGCACAAGUGAGAUGCUUGCUUCCCAUCUCAACACAAGUGCCUACAAAGAACCUCUUGACUGGUUUACUGGGGAUGUCGGUGGUCAAACUCAGCAAUUCAAAUUUGCAAAGAAGAGCCUUUACUGGUGACAGGAGCCAUUUAGAGAUGCACUCUCUGAGAGGCACAAAGGGAGCAGGUAGCUUGAUACUCUUUACAGCAAAUGUAUCCUCAAAGAAGCUUUCCCUUGCUUAGUUCUGCAAAGGGGAUGUCUGUAAAAUAAUAUUCCCCUCUACACUGGGGUAGCUCUGUUUGAGCUAAAAAUUCUAUGCCUAUUAAAGCAAGGACUUCAGAAAAAGUGGAAUUUAAUAGCUGUUGUAGGGUGGCGGAAAGGAGGAACUCCCACAGAUGAAGAGAGGACAAGCUGGCUAAAAAUCAACCCCCCCCUAUUGUUUCUGAACAGAGCAUCACACAAGGUGAAAAGCCAUUUGUACAGCUAAGGAACCCACAAGGACUGAAUAGCUUUUUGGGAGAGCAUCAGUACAGCAGGUGCUCCAGGGGAGCAGUCAGAUAAUAUGACUUCAGCUCUCAUGAGUCAGACGUUUUCCAGCAAGCUCUCCUUUGUUCAUCCAGUAUUUUACUAUUGGACACCUUAUCCUGAAGCAGUGCCAUGACUGAUAGCCUUCUGUUCUCUGUCUUUGGAAAAUCCCUCUGAUCUCACUUGUUCAUAGAGAAAGCACUGAGUUAUUUCCACUUAGCUAAGAGGAAGAGGAGCAGGAGAAACAGGCUGGUAAAGUAGGUCAUGGUGAGACAGAUGUCUUCAGGUUUAACAAAGCCCAGGCCCAACAAGCUGCCUUGAAAUGGCACAACCUGAAAUCAUUAGUGUAAAUACAGGGCAGCUAGAGGGAACGGCAACAGGUAGGCAAGGACUGACAGGCACCUUCUAAUUCAGGAAUUGAUUAUUUACACAAAGUGGCACAACUCACACCCUUCAUUGUUUCACAGCUUCCAACUUUUUUUAUGGAAAUAAUGCAGUUAUUUUGAAGAUGACCAGCAGAACAUGUGCCAGGAUGUGUUUUAGAUGCUGGCGUGUAAGUGCUUAGAGAAUACAUUGUUAUUCCCCCUUUCCAAACUUAAGAGAUGGGCAACAUGAGUAAAGCCUGUAAGCUCUCCAGUUAGGACUUGUCAAGAUCUGCAUUUUUAUAAUUAGAAGAGCUUAUUUCAGCCAAAGAGAGACAGAUUUUGAGAGUAGGCCAUAUUUGGAUGAGAAUGCAACUCGAGUGCUAUAGAUGGUUUGAUGCAAAUAAAAAUAAGAGGUGCAGAUACCCUCGUGCCAUAAAUCAAUGUGCAGCAUCUCCAUGUGCUGAAUGGUUGCUAUAAAUCUCCGGCCCAGAAUAGGUACCCAAAACUUUGGGUUGUCACACCACUUCUGUCUUAAAAGAGCAAACACAUUUAGGGAAAGUUCUCCCCAGCUUACUGCAAUGGCAGCACCUGGCAAAGCAGCCCCUGACAGUGAGUCCUCCACCUAGAGCGUGUGUAGGCACUGAGGAAUGAUUGCCAACAAUUGCCUGAGAGGGGAAGUUCAGUCUUUUAAACCCUGUUAGCUAUUUGGGGCACGUGUAUCCUAUUGUGCCCCUCUGCAAAGCAAAGAAGAGGGCACAGAGAGCCUAGGGGUAGUGAUACGGUUAUUGUACGAGUGGGAGAGUACAGAGCAGAUGUGUGCUGAGAAAUCAGGCACUGGAGCUGUAAAGGAGAGUGGUGAGGCUUGGGCAAAGUGAAAGGGAGACUGCGACUGCCUCAUCUCUGUCGAGCAGGCCCAGCAGAGAAGAAAGAGCUGUCUGUCCUAAUAAGAGCUCAGUGAGCAAGCCUAACUGGACAAGCUCGCAGCAGUACCUGUAUUUCACAUCAAACACUGUUGAGUCUUCGUCCUCAUCGUCUUCUUCAUUCAGAGGAGCCAUUUCUACCCGCUCAGCUGGAGUGGUGAUUAUGUCAUACUUCCUGGUCUUCUUAAUCCUCUUGCCAGACCUGAAACACAAAAGAUGGGGAGGGAAGGAUCACGUUUAUACAGCAUUCCCUAAAAAAGCUAAACCUGUCCCCUACAGACACGACCCACCGACAAGUCACUGCUUCAGACCUCCCCAGACACAAAGGCUGUGGAGCCAGCCUGUGUCCCCUCCUGCUGCCUUUCCAGGGCCCCAAUUUGUGCCUGUCAGCGUACAGAACAGUUUCUUGUCAAGUGCAAUCCAGAUCAACGUCAGUCUUUUAGCUGCUGACAAUCCGGAGAUCCUUUGGCAUCCAGGGCCGGCGCAGAGCAGCAGCCCACCGCGUCCUCCUGCUGCCAUGCUCAGGAAGCGAGAGACAGCCUUAAUCAGCAGCAGCAGCCACUGGUUUGGUGAGCACAUCUAAAUGAGAACACUCAGGUUAAACCCUACUGAGACGAGGGAAUGUUCUAGGCAGGAUUAUAAGGCGCAAAGGGGUGGUGAUAUUUGGGUACAGACAGCCUGCUCUUUUCCUUUCUUGAUAUUGAGCCAAGCUCGAGGCUCCCACAGCAAAAACCUUUAGCCCUGUCUGAGAAGUUCCGUGCUCAGCGCUGUGCAAGCGCUAUGAAAAAUAAUCAGCUCUGAUUUGAAGCUAACUGUACCCAUCACCUCGCCUCCUGUACACAACAGCCUUAUGCUCCUUUGGAAAUGGAGAUACUCAGGUGCCUGCGUGUCUCAGGGUUUUGUGAGCUCUAAUACUUACUUUAAAUUAACAAACACUCAGUGCGUGCCUCUUCCACCAGUUCUCCGCCUCUGACUUGAAUUGUGCGAGUCCUUUUUCCUUCACCUCCUCCUUUAAUGCACAUUAGGAGGGUCACACUGCUUAUGCAGGGAUCCAGUUUCAUGAUUAUACAUUUAAGAAGGUGUCGAUGUGUACAGCUAGUCUUUGGGGAGGAAAGAGGAUGUUUUUGGUUCACAAGCUGCAGAAUUCCCCUUUAACCUUUAUAAAACAGAACUGGCAACUGCCAAGCAUGGAAAGGGCGCUGCUGCAGGUACAAGCAAGCAGCCCCUAAUUUCAGGUAAUCACAACUACAGAGCAGACAGCACGUCAUGAGCGCACUUUCACUGUCAAGAAGUCUUGCCCUGGCACGUCAAGCAAGGCGCGUUGGAUUCAGCGCUGCCGCUUUUGCACCAAGAACAGAUGCCUUGGAAUGAGUUAGCAGCAAGAAGCAAGAUGCAGGAAUUACAAAAAGACUGGAGACCCGUUUGCAUCUGGUCCUACGUCCGCCAGAGCUGACCACAAUGUCCUCUUCUUGCCUUAUGGUAAAGGAAGUUUAAAUCUGUGAGUGCCAAGAGCUUUGAUAUGAGUCUCACUGCCUCUGCCUUUGGCUGCAAGUCCAAGGCUGAACAAACUGGUCCCAGCCCGUGGGACGGAGCACUUUGCAUUUCCUCCCUGUUCCGAAGAUGAUAGUUGCAUUAAAAGCAUGAAGACAGACGUCCCCUGUCACCUGAUCUUUACAGCAAUCUGUGCUGUGGCAUCACGGAGCACAGGGUGGUUUGUGCCAUUACCGCUGUUGUUGAAACAAGCAAUUUUAUAUCCAGUACAGUAGGACUCUUAACCUAAACACUUGAAAAUCCUUUUGAAAACACUUGUCUGUAUUAUUCGGCUUCUCAGCCAAGACCUAGCAGCAAAAUGCUGCAAGCAGGUCUCAUCUUACAAGUAAUGCGUUGCUUUUACAAGAAACAUUUACUCAUGCUGUGAAGCAUAAACAAAGACUAAAACCAACCGGUGUCUACCUGUCAGAACAAACAAAGCACAGUUUCAGUGUUUUGCCUUGUAUCGACGGUCUGCAGUGGGUUUCCGUUGGUUCCCCUAUUUAAGAGCCUACCUGCAACAGGCUGAGAGACA